AAUGCAGGGUGCUGAAUGAAAAUGGAUACUUGUUUGCAUUGCCAAAUUCUGUCCAUUACCUCAGAGGUUCUGACUGCAUCAGGCAGUUUGUGAAUGACUGUGAUGGCAUCAAAACUCCAGAAGCACUAACUUCAACAAAACUCAGAAAGCACAUUGCUACCCUCUCAACUGUUUUGAAUCUCAAGACAACAGAGCUCGACCAGCUUGCAGAUUUCCUUGGACAUAACAUAGCCGUCCACAGAAAGCACUACCGUCUUCCAGAGGGCACCCUCCAGCUAGCGAAGAUAAGCAAAGUCCUCCUGGCGUUGGAACAGGGACGGCUAGGAGAAUACAAAGGGAAGAGUUUGGAUGAGAUUCAUCUUGAUGUGAAUGGUAUUAAGCCUGAUUAAGAUUUAAUGAAAGAAACGUGAAAAAUCACAACAUUUAAAUCUGUAAAUCCUACAUUUUAGCAAGUAUUUGAUCUUAACACACUAAUAAGGAGGGCAAGUUCAAGGGGCUUAUAUUUUGAUUGGAACUACACAUUUCUAGUCACUAUAUUAACAGUCCAACUAUUUAGGUAGUACUUUUAUAUGCUCUUGUCAUCUUGAUCACAACAGUUUGUUUUCCAAUACAUUUAUAUGCUAUCAAUUUCAGAGACUGUUGCCAUGGAGACUUGUUCACAAGAGGACAUGGAAGAAGGCAGUGUGCCACAAGGAGAGGAUUCAGAAGAUGAGGACAGUGUGCCACCCCUAUUUGAAUGUACCUCAUCAUCUGCUCAAAACGAAGUGGUGUCAGCAAAAAUGACAGAAGCCAGUGUGGCACAAGGUGGGGACUCAGAUGAUGACGGUGUGGCAUCCCUACAAGAAUGUACCUCAUCAUCUGCCCAAAAGCAGAUGGUGUCAACAAAAAAGAGAGGUAAACAAUCUGCUGUCAAAAGAAGCUGGACACCAGAGGAAUCUGCUGCAGUUGACAGACAUUUAAGGAAAUUCAUAGUGAGAAGCCAAGUACCCGGAAAAGUGGACUGUGAGCGCUGUAUUACUGCAGAACCUCAAGCACUAGGAAACAGAGACUGGAAAGCAGUAAAAUACUUUAUCAAAAAUCGCAUUUCUGCCAUCAGAAGAAAACUACAGUGAAUGGCUACAAGAUGUGAGCACAGUUGAUUUUACAAACACAAACAAAUGAUGGAGUCAACAGAGCAGCCACCUUAGUGCCUUAAAAUGGCUAACUUCCUGUUCAGGGAAUGUUUUGUUUGUUGUG